rnacentral:rRNA from 1 species
CCUACGGGUGGCAGCAGUGAGGAAUAUUGGUCAAUGGACGAGAGUCUGAACCAGCCAAGUAGCGUGAAGGAUGACUGCCCUAUGGGUUGUAAACUUCUUUUAUAUGGGAAUAAAAUGUUCCACGUGUGGGAUUUUGUAUGUACCAUAUGAAUAAGGAUCGGCUAACUCCGUGCCAGCAGCCGCGGUAAUACGGAGGAUCCGAGCGUUAUCCGGCUUUAUUGGGUUUAAAGGGAGCGUAGGUGGAUUGUUAAGUCAGUUGUGAAAGUUUGCGGCUCAACCGUAAAAUUGCAGUUGAAACUGGCAGUCUUGAGUACAGUAGAGGUGGGCGGAAUUCGUGGUGUAGCGGUGAAAUGCUUAGAUAUCACGAAGAACGCCGAUUGCGAAGGCAGUUCACUGGACUGCAACUGACACUGAGGCUCGAAAGUGUGGGUAUCAAACAGGAUUAGAUACCCUUGUAGUC